UACGUAGGGACCAAGCGUUGUCCGGAAUCAUUGGGCGUAAAGAGCGUGUAGGCGGCUUGUUAAGUCUUGCGUGAAAUCUCGGGGCUCAACCCCGAGCGGUCGUGAGAAACUGGCAGGCUAGAGUGCGGGAGAGGAGAGUGGAAUUCCUGGUGUAGCGGUGAAAUGCGCAGAUAUCAGGAGGAACACCGGUGGCGAAGGCGGGUCUCUGGGCAACAACUGACGCUGAGGAGCGAAAGCGUGGGGAGCGAACAGG
rnacentral:rRNA from 1 species